AGUGGAUGUUCCGAUGUUGUGUUUGGAGAAAAAAGUGGUCAUCCCAAUAAAAGGCUUGAUAUUCAAUUGCAGGAUUUGGAUGGUGUUAAACUUAAAUGUACAUUUUGGGACUCUUAUGCUGAUGAUUUUAAGGCCAAGUUUGCUGAAGAAAACUGUGACAUCAAUGUUUUAGUGAUUCAGUUUGCGAAAUUACGUGAAUGGAGAGGUAAUUAUACUGUUUCGCAUGGAUUUCAUGCGGCAAUGCUUAUGAUAAACACUGAUGAUAUACCUGAAAUUAAGAAUUUCAAGCUAAGGCAAAUCUAAAUGAUGUUCUUUGCUUCCAAUCUUGACGUAUCCAAAUAUUAUAUUGAUAACCAACACUUUGUUUACACCGUCACAAAAAUUUCACGUGAUGAAGAGUUAAUUAGGGGCCUUGAUACUAUAUUCCAUAGAGUGAUCAGUUAGGGAGUACUUUGAAAACGAGAGGAAGAACAUUGAAAACAUAAUCAAGCCGAAUCUUGGAGUUGUAGAUAUCUUCAAACGCGAAAAUUUGCAGGUUAUCCUUUUUUUCUAAGAUUUCAUUUAUCAAAAAAUAUGUGCCAUUUAUAAACCUAUGCCGAGUUAUUUUUUUUUUAAUUUUCAAAUGAGAUCUUGUGGAAGAGGUCAAAGACUCUGUUGUCGAGUUUAAAACCCACCAGCACAUGGGUAUGAUGAGAGCGUUCGGGAGCAGAAUACUAGAAUAGCUACAUUUUGUUCGGUAUAUAAAAAACCAAAAGACUUCUCUUGUGGCUUCAAUUAUAAGUAGGGACUCAGAUGUGAAGAAGAGUGGCUGAUGCAGAUGGGUUUGUAGCAAAUUUUGUGGAAAGUGAAGAAAUUGUACAUUUAAAAAGGAUAUACAACAUCGAUUGUACAGGGCACAUGAUUUUAGCAAGUCUAGAUUCGACCCUAUAACUGCCAUAAUAUGUGAUCAGGUGCUUUCCAUUAUGGAAUAAGUUUUUUGUUUGUGGUAUACAUUGAUUCCGAGUUCCUUUGGAUUGUAUUGGUCAUUUUUUACCUAUUUAUCCGGUGUGAGAACGAGUAGCAUGUUGACGGCAUGAAGUCACCAAUGCUGAUAAACUAAUAUCCGGAUGCACCAUUAUCGGUCAGGAUCAAUGCUCAAAAGAUGUCAAGACCUGGAGCAGUUAAAGAUCAAGCAACAACAGACAACACAGUUCUUGACCAGCUUUGAAAGGUUCAUGAUGUUUUUUGCGGAUAUGGGUCAUAUGUUGAGGGUCUGUUGUAAUCUCUAGAUUCAUUCAUGAUAAUUCAUGUCCAAUGCUACAGUUGGUGCGUUUUAUAGCUGCUGUUUGCUGGUGGUAUCUUUGUGUGUUGAUAUAGACUAUUAGUAUGGUUCUACUUCUAUAUUUAGUUAAAGACAAAAUGUCUUCAAAUGCAAAUUUUUUUUUUUUUUUUUUUUGUUAUCGCCAUGAAAGGUUUGAUAUUUUGGUGUCAUAAGUUUCAUGUUGAUAAGACAAUGAGGCAGUACACUUUUUCACUAUUUUCUUCCAAAUAAAAUCAAUUGUGUCAAUAAAGCAAAACCACCCGUUGGAUGUACUGUAGUUGCAGGCCAACCGUAGAUCAUUGGUCGUGAUAUCAAGGCUUCCAAUAAUCUUAAUGAUUAUAAUUUUGAAGAAAAGCUACUCAUGUCUCUAAUAUUGUGAUGGGAACUUUUGGGUAUGCCUAUUUCCUUGAUCAGAAUGGGGUGAUGAUUCAGAUGACGACAAUGAUGAUGAAGAUCUUAAAUCUGUUAGUAGUAAGAUCUGUUAGUAGCUACUGAAUGCAAGAGUUUGAACGAUAUACACGCUGGAAAGGGAAAGGGUUGGUUUAGAGUGGAUACUAGAAGUGUUAGCUUAAGUGAAAUCGCUUGAGAAGGCAGCAAAAACUCGUGGCCCGCAAAUUGUUAGAGCCUACUUAGACCUGGGGGUGUUAUUAACAAUCUGCCCAAAUGUAUAUGCUGGAAAUUUACAAGCGUUUAUCACUUCAAUUGCGGAACUUAUCAUAGAUUCCCUUGAAGAAUUCAAAGGUAAAGGUCAGGUCAUCCGAGAUUUAUAAACAUAGGGAAUCCAGGAGUUUUUGAUGACAAAUCAUUUAAAGAUGCAGAUCUUGACACCAUUAAACAAUAAGAAACUGUACUCCAUUUCCCCGAGUUGGAUUUUGAAGAUACGAAAGAGGAUGAUCACGAUUUCAUAAUGGUUGAAGGAAGAAGAUGACGAUUACAAGAUUUCAUUGGACUUCAGUCGAUGAUGCGUCGAUGAUGCCUGACUUUAGGCGCCAAGUUUUUUGAUAGUUCACACCACCUUCACAAUACUUAGUCAUGAAAAAAUGUGGUUGACUUGGUAGAUCGAGAUGAGCUGAUAUAUAAAUUUUUUUUCAAUUUGUGAUGAAUACGAAGCUCAAUUGGAUUGCAUAAUAUUAUUCGGACAUAUGUAUGGAUUAAACAUGGAAUUUAUGAGUCACUUCUAGAACCUUUUGUUGGUCGAUAAAGAAAUGAGAGAUUCAUUAGGUUCAUAAUUGCCAGACAAAGUUACCAAUUGUCAGUCGACGUUACUGCCUAAGGUGAUGAAUCAGAACUUGGGCCAUCACCAAAAGGUUCUUUCAAUUUUAGAUCACCUAUGAAAUAUUUCUCAAGUGAUUACCUACGAGUUACGAGUGAUAAUGGUAGUCAAGGCUAACUCUACACCAUGUUAUCAAGAGCCUCUCAUGUAGUAUUUCAAAUUUUGGUAACUGUGAUUGUUACCUUCUUAUUAUAUAUAUGGAUUAUAUU